rnacentral:rRNA from 1 species
CGGGAGGCAGCAGUGGGGAAUAUUGCACAAUGGGCGCAAGCCUGAUGCAGCCAUGCCGCGUGUGUGAAGAAGGCCUUCGGGUUGUAAAGCACUUUUGUCAGGGAAGAAAUCGUUCGGGCUAAUACCUCGGGCAGUUGACGGUACCUGAAGAAUAAGCACCGGCUAACUACGUGCCAGCAGCCGCGGUAAUACGUAGGGUGCAAGCGUUAAUCGGAAUUACUGGGCGUAAAGCGUGCGCAGGUGGUUCGUUAAGACAGUUGUGAAAUCCCCGGGCUUAACCUGGGAACUGCAAUUGUGACUGGCGGACUAGAGUUUGGCAGAGGGGGGUGGAAUUCCUGGUGUAGCAGUGAAAUGCGUAGAGAUCAGGAGGAACACCGAUGGCGAAGGCAGCCCCCUGGGCCAUGACUGACACUCAUGCACGAAAGCGUGGGGAGCAAACAGGAUUAGAUACCCUGGUAGUCCACACCGUAAACGAUGAAUGCCAGUCGUCGGAUAGUAUACUAUUCGGUGACACACCUAACGGAUUAAGCAUUCCGCCUGGGGAGUACGGUCGCAAGAUUAAAACUCAAAUAAAUUGACGGGGACCCGCACAAGCAGUGGAGCAUGUGGUUUAA